UAGGGAAUCUUCGGCAAUGGACGAAAGUCUGACCGAGCAACGCCGCGUGAGUGAAGAAGGUUUUCGGAUCGUAAAACUCUGUUGUUAGAGAAGAACAAGGACGUUAGUAACUGAACGUCCCCUGACGGUAUCUAACCAGAAAGCCACGGCUAACUACGUGCCAGCAGCCGCGGUAAUACGUAGGUGGCAAGCGUUGUCCGGAUUUAUUGGGCGUAAAGCGAGCGCAGGCGGUUUCUUAAGUCUGAUGUGAAAGCCCCCGGCUCAACCGGGGAGGGUCAUUGGAAACUGGGAGACUUGAGUGCAGAAGAGGGGAGUGGAAUUCCAUGUGUAGCGGUGAAAUGCGUAGAUAUAUGGGGGAACACCAGUGGCGAAGGCGGCUCUCUGGUCUGUAACUGACGCUGAGGCUCGAAAGCGUGGGGAGCAAACAGG
rnacentral:rRNA from 2 species